UUUUUUAGUUUGAACAAGCCAGAUAAAUCUGCUUUACCAGGAUUAAAUUAUGUCCCUUUGGGGAAUGAGCCGAUACCUCCUCAGUUAACAUUGAGGGAGAGAAAUGCUCAACACAGGUUGAUUAAUCGUGAGGACUCUGACUUCUCUCUGCCCAGUGGUUUGUCAGUGAAAAGUGAGCACUCAAUGGAUUGUCCUAUCAACAUCAGUGGAGGACCAGUCACUACAGAACUGAACUUGAACAGGCCAAAUAAACCUUCUUCACCAGGACCAAGUCAUGUGUCUUUGGGGAAUAUGUCUAUAACCUCACCAUUAUCCUUUAUGCCUGAACACAAGUUGGUUGAGCGGGAGCAGUCAAUGGAUUAUCCUCAUAAAUUCAGCAGAGAAUCUGUCCUUAUAGAACUGAAGUAUGUUAGCCAUGUGUUAAACAAUUAUAAACAAUAUACAUCAAUGUUUGUUACCAUGAGAUACAUACAAAUGCUUUUAAUGUAUUCACGUAUUUAAAUAUGCCUUCAGAAAGGUGUGUCUGUCUCGUUCAAAAAAUUUUCAGAAGGCAAAAACAUCCAUAUUUGAAAAUCUGAAAAAUCUAAUAUACAGGUUUCUUUCU